rnacentral:rRNA from 1 species
GAUGAACGCUGGCGGCGUGCCUAAUACAUGCAAGUCGAGCGAACAGACGAGGAGCUUGCUCCUCUGACGUUAGCGGCGGACGGGUGAGUAACACGUGGAUAACCUACCUAUAAGACUGGGAUAACUUCGGGAAACCGGAGCUAAUACCGGAUAAUAUAUUGAACCGCAUGGUUCAAUAGUGAAAGACGGUUUUGCUGUCACUUAUAGAUGGAUCCGCGCCGCAUUAGCUAGUUGGUAAGGUAACGGCUUACCAAGGCAACGAUGCGUAGCCGACCUGAGAGGGUGAUCGGCCACACUGGAACUGAGACACGGUCCAGACUCCUACGGGAGGCAGCAGUAGGGAAUCUUCCGCAAUGGGCGAAAGCCUGACGGAGCAACGCCGCGUGAGUGAUGAAGGUCUUCGGAUCGUAAAACUCUGUUAUUAGAGAAGAUCAAAUGUGUAAGUAACUAUGCACGUCUUGACGGUACCUAAUCAGAAAGCCACGGCUAACUACGUG